GGACAACUCUGUUGCAACUCCAGUUGAAGGAUGACAUCUUCAUCCCUGAAAAGGUUUUCAUCCUGGAGGAGACUGUGCAGGAGGCAGAGGAGGAAAGAACGGUUAGUACAGCAUGCCAAACUGACC